GUGGCUCAAAACGGUAGGGCGCCAGCUCCAUAUGCUGGAGGUACUGGGUUCAAACCCAGC
rnacentral:tRNA from 1 species